ensembl:lncRNA
CUCCAUUGGUGACCACGUUUUGAAACUGACUGUAGAAAAACGUGAGAGACGCUCCAAAACUAUUUUGUUUGUUUUGUUUUUUCUUUCACUGAAGCACUGACUUUUCUUACUCUAAAACACUGAAAUAUCCCUUUGGAGAUCAGUAAACUACUUGAACAGUAAAGUAUCUAUCUAUCUAUCUAUCUAUCUAUCUAUCUAUCUAUCCAAACACAGUUCAACAAGCGCAAUGUCUUCAGAAAAGGACCGCCUUGAUGCCCUGCUUGAGGAGAGCACAUCUUUUCUGGAGGAAUUUAACCCACCACAGGUAAUGUGCCUUACAUAGAGACUGUCUUCAACAGACACUACUGUGAAGUACUCCAUCAGAUUUAGAUCUGUGCUUCUUUAUCAUGUGAUAUGGUUGAUUUCCAGCCUAAGAAAAAAAGGGAAAAAAAGCACCACCAAGAACCAAAAGUUAGCUGGAGCAGAGAAUCAGCCAAUUUGCAGACCGGAACCUUAAGGGGGUAAGUGUUCUUUAAUUAUUUGUGUGAAUUAGCGAGUCUGUUUAGUGCCAAUAGUAACUAAUAUCUGCUAUUCCAUGGAAUGUUGUAAUUAUCCACAUCUGUCUGCUAUCUAACCCAUUCCAUGUAUCCACUGUAUUAGCAUACUUCGUUAGUCCUUCCGUUAUAUCAAAAUAGUUACCAUCAGUAAUCUCUUUUAAUAUUCUUAUCACUUAAUAAUCAAAGACCAAUCUCUCCAUUGAUGACCAUGUUCUGCAACUGACUGUAGACAACGUGAGAAAGACGCUCUCCACAAUAAAAGCGUUAUAUAUUUGUUUUGUUUUUUAGUUUUACUUAUUUUUUACUUCACCUUUCACGGGAAUUCCUGCUGCAACACUGACAUUUCCCUUUGGAGAUCAGUAAACUACUUGAACAGUAAAGUAUCUAUCUAUCUAUCCAAACACAGUUCAAUAAGGGUAGUGUCUUCAGAAAAGGACCGCCUUGAUGCCCUGCUUGAGGAGAGCACAUCUUUUCUAGAGGAAUUUAACCCACCACAGCCUAAGAAAAAAAGGGGAAAAAAGCACCACCAAGAACCAAAAGUUAGCUGGAGCAGAGAAUCAGCCAAUUUGCAGACCGGAACCUUAAGGGGGUAAGUGUUCUUUAAUUAUUUGUGUGAAUUAGCGAGUCUGUUUAGUGUCAAUAGUAACUAAUAUCUGCUAUUCCAUGGAAUGUUGUAAUUAUCCACAUCUGUCUGCUAUCUAACCCAUUCCAUGUAUCCACUGUAUUAGCAUACUUCGUUAGUCCUUCCGUUAUAUCAAAAUAGUUACCAUCAGUAAUCUCUUUUAAUAUUCUUAUCACUUAAUAAUCAAAGACCAAUCUCUCCAUUGAUGACCAUGUUCUGCAACUGACUGUAGACAACGUGAGAAAGACGCUCUCCACAAUAAAAGCGUUAUAUAUUUGUUUUGUUUUUUAGUU